rnacentral:tRNA from 1 species
GGACAGAUGGCCGAGUGGUCUAAGGCGCUGCGUUUAGGUUCGUUCUAAACAUCCUCCGCAGUCUUCACGGGCGUGGGUGUAAGUUUACUCAACUCAACAACUUUGAAUCACAGGUACUAAUAUUAACACAGUCGAAUCCCACUCUGUUCA